rnacentral:rRNA from 1 species
AUUGAACGCUGGCGGCAGGCUUAACACAUGCAAGUCGAGCGGAGCGAGGGUGCUUGCACCUUAGCUUAGCGGCGGACGGGUGAGUAAUGCUUAGGAAUCUGCCUAUUAGUGGGGGACAACAUUCCGAAAGGAAUGCUAAUACCGCAUACGCCCUACGGGGGAAAGCAGGGGAUCUUCGGACCUCGCGCUAAUAGAUGAGCCUAAGUCGGAUUAGCUAGUUGGUGGGGUAAAGGCCUACCAAGGCGACGAUCUGUAGCGGGUCUGAGAGGAUGAUCCGCCACACUGGGACUGAGACACGGCCCAGACUCCUACGGGAGGCAGCAGUGGGGAAUAUUGGACAAUGGGCGGAAGCCUGAUCCAGCCAUGCCGCGUGUGUGAAGAAGGCCUUUUGGUCGUAAAGCACUUUAAGCGAGGAGGAGGCUACUGAGACUAAUACUCUUGGAUAGUGGACGUUACUCGCAGAAUAAGCACCGGCUAACUCUGUGCCAGCCGCCGCAGUAA